UCCCAGAUGCCCCAGCCCUGGCCCCACCCACCAGGGAGCCUUGGAUAUCCCAGUUCCCACAACCCCCCUUCCCUAUUGAGACACUGUGGUCUUCAGCCAACACCCUCACUGCCUGUCUCCUCCUCCUACUCUGGACCUGGGCCAGCCCCUGCCCCUUUCCAGGCAUGGCACCUCCUUUCAGGCCUCCCCCAUCUUCACCUGGCCCCAUGCCAGCCAGUUAGCCACCAAGCCAACCACCUUUCUGGGGCCUGAGAUGGAGGGAGUCAGCUCUUCUGGGCCAACAUGAGUGCUGAGGGCUGAUGGCUGCAGAGGGGCAGAGGCAGCCCCAUCACCUCCCAGGAAUCUGAUCCUCCUGCCAGGUGGUUCCCAUUUCCUGGAGGCUGCAUGAAGAUGGAGGCAGAGAGAGAUUUUGCUACAAAGAAGAAGGCAAAGUGGAGACUGAAGAAGGAUGCUCCACUUGAGGAAUGCAGCUUUAGAGGCUGGAAAAGACAAGGGAGUGGAUCCUCUCCUAAUUUCUCUGGAGAAGCAUGGUCCAGCUGACACUUUGAUUUUGGCUCAGUGAAUCUGACUUCAGAAUUCUCACCUCAAGAAUUCUGAGAGAACACAUGUAUAUGUUAUUUUUUUUAUUGCGGUAAAAUUUACAUAACUUAAAAUUUAUCAAUUUAACUAUUCAUUAAGUUUACAAACCAGUAGCAUUAAAUACAUUCACAGUGUUGUAUAACCAUCACCACUGUCUUUGGCUUAAAAAACCUUCAUCAUCUCAAUAAAAACUCUGAACCCA